ACGCCGGUGGUGUAAAGGCGUAGAGCAUUCCCGAACGGUCAGAGGGAGGUGCGGGUUCGAGUCCCGCCUGGCGCU
rnacentral:tRNA from 1 species